GCUCAGUGCUCUGCUGGAUGCUGCCCGAGCAUGAGGCCUGCCAUGUGCCCUGUCCCAUCUGGGACGCCCAUCCUUAAAUGACAGGGCAUGUGGCACGGGGCCACCUCCCUCCGGCUUCAUACCAUGCAUGCUUAGAACACACACCGGGUGGAUGUGGGUAGAUGGGAACUCUGGAGGAAAAAAGCACUUGGCACCGCCAGCCAGGGAUAAGAACAAAUUCUGUUCCCGUAGGUUGCUAACAGUGCUCUGCUAGAAGCCUUACAGGUUCUCCACCUCAGGACACAAGCAGUGACUCAGCUGGUGACAUGAGGAUGAUGCCGUCCGCAGAGGAUCAGGCCCCCAAAGAGUGGCCCAAACAGAAACUGCAGAUGGGGUUCCAAUACAACUCUCUACAAGGAACAGGGGGCCCUCCAACAGGCAUAGAGGUGAGGACGGGUGCCAUCCACAGUGGAACAUCAACCACCCGCUGAGCCGAAGACAUGAUCAAACGGCUGCAGUGACUUGCGUGCACCUGUCUACCUGUUGUGUGCCUGCCAGGUCUUUCGAUAUAGCCUGGCUCCUG